rnacentral:RNase_P_RNA from 1 species
CAGCCGGAUCGGACGGUCGCUGUCGCAAGGCAGAGGAAAGUCCGAACUCCGCAGAGCAGUGUGCCGGAUAACGUCCGGGAGGGUGAGUUCAAGCUCACUCGACGGAAAGUGCCACAGAAAACAUACCGCCUGGGCCGCAAGGCCCGGGUAAGGGUGAAAAGGUGCGGUAAGAGCGCACCGCCGCGGCAGCAAUGCAGCGGGCAGGGCAAACCCCACACGGAGCAAGACCAAAUAGGGAGGAAGUCCGGGACUUCGGUUUCGGACACGCACCGGCUCGGCGCGUCAAACCUCCGGGUAGGUCGCUUGAGCCCCGCAGUAAUGCGUGGCCCAGAGGAAUGGCCGUCCCACGGGAGCAAUCCCGUGGACAAAAUUCGGCUUACAGAUCCGGCUGCCAA